GGGUUGGGGGGAGGGAUUAUGAGAGCAGAGUGCUUUGCAUACCACUAGCCUUACCCAGAUGAUUAAAAAAUAUGAACAAAAAAAGCCAGUUAUCUUUAGGAGAAAGGGUUGCUUGUUUUUGAUACAGGGUCUCACUCUGUAAAUCAGGUUAGCCUCACGGAGACCCACCUGCCUCUGCUUCCUGAAUACUGGGAUUAAAGGUGUGUGCCACCAUGCCUGGCAGUUUUUAGUCUUUCUGUUUUGUUUGUUUGUUUCCUUGCAUGGCGUUUGGGCUUUUAAGACCAGAUCUCAGUGUGUAGACCUAGCUGGUCUCACACUUCUGGUAAUCCUCCUGACCCCACCUCCUGACUGCUGGACUGACUGACACGCAGUACCAAGUCCAGAAGCUCUUCUCAUUCUGGAUGAGUCCAACUUUCCGCCACAUUGCAGGAAAGUCACCGAGAGGCAGAGCAACAGCGUGACAAAGAGAUGACGGCAAAAACAAAGGAAAAACACGGCCACAUGUUGCUCUGUAAGUGGACAGAGAGAAGGGAUCACUUCAAAAGCUUUCCAGGGAGGAGAGAUCCCACAAGGUCAAAAGAGAAUCCACUCCAGAGAGCUGUCCUCCAUACGUACAUCCGCAACCCCAGCCCCCAACACACAAUAAAAUAAAUGAACAAAUAGGGAUCGAGGUCAGGUUCCCUGAACCCACGUGGUGGAAAACAGCCAUAAACAACCCCAGUCCCAGCGGAUCUAACAGGCAUGGACGUGGUGCAUAUAUAUGCAGACAAAACAUUCAUACACAGAAGAGUCUUGCCAUAUAGCCCAGGCUGGCCAAAAACUCCCUAGGGUCUUGCCUUAGCCUCCAAGCUGGUAUGACAGGCAUGUGUCACCACAUCCGGCUUCCCCCUCCCCCAACACACACAGCGUGCAUUUAAGGAAGAAAAUACUCUACUUCAUCUGGUGUCUGUGACACUUGACUCCUCUGGGGGAAAUCGCUGGGCCCCAUGCAAACCACAGUUCCCAGGCCACAGUGCAGCUUCCUGCAUUUCCCACUCCUGAAGACCAAGUGCACCAAAGAGCAGGAAGAUGGCUAAGCAACCCAGGCAGGUCAAGGACUUAAACUUUUCUUGACUCUCCAAGGCCAGGCUAAGACAGAGGCUCUCGGUCCUCACCCAGGAUGGAUACGGAAGCAGGGUCUCUCUGCACAGAUAGUCAUCACCGCGACUUAGAAGCUGGUGACACAUGCCAGCAGCAACGGUUCGCACCCUGGAUUCUGACUCUCAGAAAGACCGAGGCAGAAGGAUUGCCAUGAGUUCAAAGCCAGCCUGAGCUAUGGAGCGAGGCCUUGCCUUAAAUGACACAAAAGAAGAAAGCCGUGAACGAGUGAAAGAAGUGCUGGGGAGCAGCUGAGCUGCUGUUCAGAUUGAGCAAGGUCCUGGAUUCCACCCUCAGCCUCGCAAAUAAACGCAUU